UACGGGGGGGGCAAGCGUUGUUCGGAAUUACUGGGCGUAAAGGGCUCGUAGGCGGCCAACUAAGUCAGACGUGAAAUCCCUCGGCUUAACCGGGGAACUGCAUCUGAUACUGGAUGGCUUGAGGUUGGGAGAGGGAUGCGGAAUUCCAGGUGUAGCGGUGAAAUGCGUAGAUAUCUGGAGGAACACCGGUGGCGAAGGCGGCAUCCUGGACCAAUUCUGACGCUGAGUGAGCGAAAGCCAGGGGAGCAAACGGG
rnacentral:rRNA from 1 species